AUUGAACGCUGGCGGCAGGCUUAACACAUGCAAGUCGAGCGGGGGAAGGUAGCUUGCUACCGGACCUAGCGGCGGACGGGUGAGUAAUGCUUAGGAAUCUGCCUAUUAGUGGGGGACAACAUCUCGAAAGGGAUGCUAAUACCGCAUACGUCCUACGGGAGAAAGCAGGGGAUCUUCGGACCUUGCGCUAAUAGAUGAGCCUAAGUCGGAUUAGCUAGUGGGUGGGGUAAAGGCCUAGCAAGGCGACGAUCUGUAGCGGGUCUGAGAGGAUGAUCCGCCACACUGGGACUGAGACACGGCCCAGACUCCUACGGGAGGCAGCAGUGGGGAAUAUUGGACAAUGGGGGGAACCCUGAUCCAGCCAUGCCGCGUGUGUGAAGAAGGCCUUAUGGUUGUAAAGCACUUUAAGCGAGGAGGAGGCUACUUUAGUUAAUACCUAGAGAUAGUGGACGUUACUCGCAGAAUAAGCACCGGCUAACUCUGUGCCAGCAGCCGCCGUAA
rnacentral:rRNA from 1 species